rnacentral:lncRNA from 1 species
GAGCAUUCUGGACGCUAGUGGGAAGCUGCCCUGUGAAGACCAGGCAGGCAGGGAAGAAUAGAGUGGUGGAGACUGGCCUGAAAAAGCUGGGGACUGGGAAAGAUCUCAGACCAGGAAGACAGAGAAGGAUAUGUGGGAGGAGCAAUACUUGACAAGUCAGCAGGCAAUGGAAUGGACACUAAAGAGUACAGGAAGACCAGUUAAGAGAAGGAUUCAUCUGGCAGUUCAAAAUAAUUGUUCAGAAGAUCACUACAGAGAAUCAGACAUUUGAAAUCCCUCUGAUCAGGCUGGUGAGAUGGCUCAGUGGGUAACAGCACCCGCCUGCUCUCCUGAAGGUCUGGAGUUCAAAUCCCAGCAACCACAUGGUGGCUCACAAUCAUCCGUAACGAGAUAUGACUCCCUCUUCUGAAGUGUCUGAAGACAGCUACAGUGAGAUAUGACUCCCUCUUCUGGAGUGUCUGAAGACAGCUACAGUGAGGGGAUUUAUUAAUAAAUUUAUAAAUAAAAUUUAAAAAAGAAAUCCCUCUGUUCAAAUAGUAAA